rnacentral:rRNA from 1 species
GCAAGUCGAACGGUAAGGCCCCUUCGGGGGUACACGAGUGGCGAACGGGUGAGUAACACGUGAGCAACCUGCCCUUGACACUGGAAUAACAGUUGGAAACAGCUGCUAAUGCCAGAUAUGACCUUCGGUGGCAUCACCAGAAGGUGGAAAGUGCUUAGCGGUCAAGGAUGGGCUCGCGGCCUAUCAGCUUGUUGGUGAGGUAACGGCUCACCAAGGCUUCGACGGGUAGCCGGCCUGAGAGGGCGACCGGCCACACUGGGACUGAGAUACGGCCCAGACUCCUACGGGAGGCAGCAGUGGGGAAUAUUGCACAAUGGGCGCAAGCCUGAUGCAGCAACGCCGCGUGCGGGAUGACGGCCUUCGGGUUGUAAACCGCUUUCAGUUCAGACGAAGCGCAAGUGACGGUAGGAACAGAAGAAGGACCGGCCAACUACGUGCCAGCAGCCGCGGUGAUACGUAGGGUCCGAGCGUUGUCCGGAAUUAUUGGGCGUAAAGGGCUUGUAGGCGGUUUGUCACGUCGAAAGUGAAAACUCAGGGCUCAACCCUGA